AUGGUGGCCGUGCUUUCUCAGAGGGCAGCCGUGGAGAAUGGGAGAAAGCCUGAGAUGACAGAGCCUCAUAAACAGCGGGGUCUCAAGCAGGUGUCUGCUAUUAUCACCCUGCCUCGGCCCACGGGGUUUCCAGGGUGUCGGAGCUGCCGUCUGUGUCCCAGGAUGAGAAGCAGGUGGUCCAUCUGGGUCAGAUUACCAGGCACGAAGCCAAAGAAUCAGCAGUCAUUUCUGAGAGCCCGGCUUGGCUUUCUGUCUGGGAUCCAAAGCAGUGUUGUUGCCAUGGACACCAGAAGUCCCUUGCCUGCGUCCAGAGGGAAAACUGAAGUGGCGGCCAGGAACUCUCAGAGCUGGNNNNNNNNNNNNNNNNNNNNNNNNNNNNNNNNNNNNNNNNNNNNNNNNNNNNNNNNNNNNNNNNNNNNNNNNNNNNNNNNNNNNNNNNNNNNNNNNNNNGCGUCCAGAGGGAAAACUGAAGUGGCGGCCAGGAACUCUCAGAGCUGGUUGGGGAACAGGAUGGAAGCAACUCAGAAGCGAGUGCCCAAGGAGAGUAGCAGGGAACAGAAGAGGAAACACGGUAGGAAGCUGAAGAGAACUUUCUUUCCCUUCCUUGGCUCCUCAUCACACGUCCAAGGCACAACCAACACUGCGUCAGAGCCCCAGCUGAACCAGAUGGCCCCACCUACUAUCUAGCUGUGGGCUUUCCCUAGAGCUAAGGCAGGGGCUCCAUCAAAAGAUGGUAGGGCCCCAUAGUCUAACAAUGCAGGCUGCACACAGGACGCAAUUCUACGUACCUGCCCAGUACUUGCUGCUUUGGGAAGAAACCACAGACACUGAGAAAGGACCUGUGGCCACAAGCUGCUCGUAACAAACAGCUGUUUUUGCACGCCCAGCUCUGGGGAGGGGCUUCCCCACAUCUAAGUCCCCAAGUAACACAGGUGACACUAGGCUCAUCGUCAGGCUUCCCAGGUGGUGCUAGUGGUAAAGAACCUAUCUGCCAAUACAGGAGAUAUAAGAGACCUGGGUUCCAUCCCUGCAUUGGGAAGAUGCCCUGGAGGAGGGUGGGGCAACCCACUGCAGUAUUCUGCCUGGAGAAUCCCAUGGACAGAGGAGUCUUAUGGGCUACAGUCCAUGGGAUUGCAGAGUCAGACGCAACUGAAGCAACUUGGCAGGCACUCUCAUGCAUGCUCACCUCUAGGCCCAUCGCUGGUGUCAUGACCAGAGGGGAUGGCCUGAGCCCCCAGCCAACAUGGAAGAGGUCCUCUGGAGGUUGAGACAGAUUAGUUAGCUUGACAGAAAACACCAGAUCAGGACAGGGCAGAUCCAGCAGAAGGAAGCCUGGGCCACCAAAAGGUGACAAAGGCUCCAUCAGGAAUACGAGGGGCAGGCAGUUGACAAGGGGCAGGGCCCCUGCUCAGUUAUGGCUCCUGAGGAUCAAACCCUCUUCUUUCCCUCUCCUCAUGUUUCCUCUUCCUCUUUUUCUUUCUUUCCUUUGAUUUAGCAGCUUUAAAAAAAACAACAGUUAUUUUAAAAAUAAUAUUUAUUUAUAUUUAUAUAUUUAUUUGGCUGCCCUGGAUCUUAGUUGUGGCACAUAGGAUCUAGUUCCCCAACCAGAGAUUGAACCUGGGUCCCUGCAUUGGGAGUGCAGAGUCUUAGCUGCUAGAUCCAGUCUAGUAGCUUUUGACUCAGUUAUUUCCCAAACAAACAAAGCCACCCCAAUGGUUCCAGUUCCUCAAUACUCCUUGGUUGUUCAAAAUCAUUUCCUCUGAGGUGAAAGAGCAGCUGUGCCUCUCAGGCUUCUGUUGAUCUUGUGUCAGUUGACUCCUACCCUGGGGUGGGGAGAGACUUUGGGAGGACACGUCCUGCCACAGGAAACCCCGGGAUUCACCAGCAGCAUGCAGCCGUCUCUUAGGUAGAUUGUUUCCUUGGAAGGUCACAAACUUCAUCCAGCUCCCUGGAGUGUUGCUGUGACACUCUGGACCAUGUGGACUGAUUCAUCCCUCACAUAUACAGGCAUCCGAACUCUGUUUGCCUCUAGGCCCUUCCUCAGAUCAUCACGUUUUCACAGGGUGAUAUCUGCCUGAAGCUUAGUUGUUCAGAGUAGAACCAGCCUUCUCACCAUGGCUGGGCACACUCAGUCCGUAUAGCUCCUGUGGAACUCAUGCCCUGGUGUGUCGAGACCUGAAUGGAAUCUUUCUAGACCACAGACACAUUAUCAGCCUCCCUUAUGUACUCGACCAUCCCCAGGCUGGCCAGAACGACUUAAAAUGCCCAUCUGAGCCAUUUGUCCAGUCAAUAAGCAUAUCUGAUCUUCACUGUUACAUCUGCAUCUCAGUCGCCCUUUAUUCUGCCCCAACAAACUGCUCAGAAUGACUCUGCCUUGCCUCCUGCCAGCAUGCGCUGCACCCAGCACUGGUUCCUAACGGCAUCCUGUGUGCACACACCGUGCCUCUCCUGGAAAAUUGGUCCCUAUCCUCCUAGAUCCGAAGCAGAAAUGGUUGCACCUUCUCUUUCCCUUAGCAUGCUUGUCACUCGGUUCUCAGAAGCUUACUGUGACUCCCACAUGGGGCCUCAGUGCCUGAGCUCUAUAGUGUCUGCCCCCCAUGCCCUCUUCCAGGGCAGCCUGAAGGCAGGGGCUGAGCUUAGCACCUUGUAGGUGCUUGUUACUUACCUAUUGCUACAGAUAAGACAAGGCUCAGUUGAGUUCACUUCAGUUGCUCAAUCAUGUCCAACUCUUUGUGACCCCAUUGACUACAGCAUGCCAGGCUUCCCUGUCCAUCACCAANNNNCUGGAGCUUGCUCAAACUCAUGUCCAUCAAGCCGGUGAUGCCAUCCAACCUUUUCAUCUUCUGUCAUUCCCUUUUCCUCCUGCCUUCAAUCUUUCUCAUCUUCAGUGAGUCAGUUCUUCCCAUCAGGUAGCCAAAGUAUUGGAGCGUCAACUUCAGCAGCAGUCCUUCCAAUGAAUAUUCAGGACUGAUUUCCUUUAGGA
ensembl:lncRNA